rnacentral:rRNA from 1 species
UACGUAGGGUGCGAGCGUUAAUCGGAAUUACUGGGCGUAAAGCGUGCGCAGGCGGCUUCUCAAGUCAGGGGUGAAAGCCCAGAGCUCAACUCUGGAAUUGCCUUUGAGACUGAGUGGCUUGAGUACGAGAGAGGUGAGUGGAAUUCCCAGUGUAGAGGUGAAAUUCGUAGAUAUUCGGAAGAACACCAGUGGCGAAGGCGACUUACUGGACACAUAUUGACGCUGAGGUGCGAAAGCGUGGGGAGCAAACAGG